AUACGGAGGGGGCUAGCGUUGUUCGGAAUUACUGGGCGUAAAGCGCGCGUAGGCGGCUUAUCAAGUUAGGCGUGAAAGGCCUGGGCUCAACCCGGGAACUGCGCUUAAUACUGGUAGACUUGAGUCCGAGAGAGGGUGGCGGAAUUCCCAGUGUAGAGGUGAAAUUCGUAGAUAUUGGGAAGAACACCAGUGGCGAAGGCGGCCACCUGGCCCGGUACUGACGCUGAGGUGCGAAAGCGUGGGGAGCAAACAGAAUUAGAUACCCCGGUAGUCC
rnacentral:rRNA from 1 species